CCCUUGCGUCAGCGCGGUGGACACAGAAGGCGCGUGCGGGUUCAGGUUCGCAGAGGGCGGGCGGUGUUAACCAGAAAAACGGACCCGAUGUGUAGCCCCAACCCGGUGGAUCUUUUUAGUGUUGUGUCCGAUUUAAGCAGAAAUCUUAAGAACGUGAACCACCGAAUUAUGCAGGCCUGCGAGUUUGAGCGUUGCUUAGAAUCUCUUCCAGUUGCUUGCAGAUGACGUAGGCUUUGUGGGAGCAUCAAUUGAACAAAUUAAUCCAAAUGACCAAAAGCACCUGCUGAGAUCCUGUGGGACGACGUCGUGAGUUCUGACGGAAAGCACAGGGAUGCGGACAGACUCAGCUCCACAACAAAUAUGACAGUGCAAUGUGCCACCUCCUUGUUAAGGACCCUCUACAUGUGGCACAGAGCUCAAAAGCAAAACGCUGGAAUUUGGCUACAAAAAACACAACAAUUGGAGUUGCAUCGUGUUUUCUGAGGUGUCCUACAGACCAAGGUGUAUGGGUGUUCUGCUCGCAUUUGUGCCUGAGCACCAUGUGCAUGCAGUGGCCACAGAAGCAAGAAAAAGGAAUUCAAUCUCCUAGAUCUGGAGUUAGAAGGUUGUGAGCUGCCAUCUAGGUGCUAAGAAUCAAGCCUGGGUUCUCUAGAAGAGCAACGGGUGCUGGUAACCACUGAGCCAUCUCUCCAGUCCCAAGAUCCCUGAACUGUGUCCACUCCAAUGGAUGUGCAAGAAUGGUACAUUGUUUUAAUUUGUAGCUCUCCAAUCAGCACAUCUUCAUUUGCUUAUUUGCCAUCAAUCUGUGUACUCUAAUGAAGGUUCAGUUUAGAACUUUUUCCAAUUUUUAAUCAGGUUGUGUUCUUUUCGUUGUUGUUGUUGUUGUGUGUAGUUUGUUGAGAAAGGGUUUCCUCUGUAGCUCUGUCUG